UACGUAGGUGGCAAGCGUUGUCCGGAUUUAUUGGGUUUAAAGGGUUCGUAGGUGGCCACUUAAGUCAGACGUGAAAUCCCUCAGCUUAACUGGGGAACUGCGUCUGAUACUGAGUGGCUUGAGUGCAGGAGAGGAAUGCGGAAUUCCAGGUGUAGCGGUGAAAUGCGUAGAUAUCUGGAGGAACACCGGUGGCGAAGGCGGCAUCCUGGACCGGUAUUGACGCUGAGGCGCGAAAGCCAGGGGAGCAAACGGG
rnacentral:rRNA from 1 species